rnacentral:rRNA from 1 species
CCGCCCGUCACACCAUGGGAGUUGGUUUGACCCGAAGCCGGUGGGCUAACAGCGCAAGCUGAGGCAGCCGUCCACGGUCAGGUCAGCGACUGGGGUG